rnacentral:rRNA from 1 species
AUUAGAGUUUGAUCGUGGCUCAGAUUGAACGCUGGCGGCAGGCCUAACACAUGCAAGUCGAACGGUAGCACAGAGAGCUUGCUCUCGGGUGACGAGUGGCGGACGGGUGAGUAAUGUCUGGGAAACUGCCUGAUGGAGGGGGAUAACUACUGGAAACGGUAGCUAAUACCGCAUAAUGUCGCAAGACCAAAGAGGGGGACCUUCGGGCCUCUUGCCAUCAGAUGUGCCCAGAUGGGAUUAGCUAGUAGGUGGGGUAACGGCUCACCUAGGCGACGAUCCCUAGCUGGUCUGAGAGGAUGACCAGCCACACUGGAACUGAGACACGGUCCAGACUCCUACGGGAGGCAGCAGUGGGGAAUAUUGCACAAUGGGCGCAAGCCUGAUGCAGCCAUGCCGCGUGUAUGAAGAAGGCCUUCGGGUUGUAAAGUACUUUCAGCGGGGAGGAAGGUGUUGUGGCUAAUAACCACAGCAAUUGACGUUACCCGCAGAAGAAGCACCGGCUAACUCCGUGCCAGCAGCCGCGGUAAUACGGAGGGUGCAAGCGUUAAUCGGAAUUACUGGGCGUAAAGCGCACGCAGGCGGUCUGUCAAGUCGGAUGUGAAAUCCCCGGGCUCAACCUGGGAACUGCAUUCGAAACUGGCAGGCUAGAGUCUUGUAGAGGGGGGUAGAAUUCCAGGUGUAGCGGUGAAAUGCGUAGAGAUCUGGAGGAAUACCGGUGGCGAAGGCGGCCCCCUGGACAAAGACUGACGCUCAGGUGCGAAAGCGUGGGGAGCAAACAGGAUUAGAUACCCUGGCAGUCCACGCCGUAAACGAUGUCGAUUUGGAGGUUGUGCCCUUGAGGCGUGGCUUCCGGAGCUAACGCGUUAAAUCGACCGCCUGGGGAGUACGGCCGCAAGGUUAAAACUCAAAUGAAUUGACGGGGGCCCGCACAAGCGGUGGAGCAUGUGGUUUAAUUCGAUGCAACGCGAAGAACCUUACCUGGUCUUGACAUCCACAGAACUUUCCAGAGAUGGAUUGGUGCCUUCGGGAACUGUGAGACAGGUGCUGCAUGGCUGUCGUCAGCUCGUGUUGUGAAAUGUUGGGUUAAGUCCCGCAACGAGCGCAACCCUUAUCCUUUGUUGCCAGCGGUUAGGCCGGGAACUCAAAGGAGACUGCCAGUGAUAAACUGGAGGAAGGUGGGGAUGACGUCAAGUCAUCAUGGCCCUUACGACCAGGGCUACACACGUGCUACAAUGGCGCAUACAAAGAGAAGCGACCUCGCGAGAGCAAGCGGACCUCAUAAAGUGCGUCGUAGUCCGGAUUGGAGUCUGCAACUCGACUCCAUGAAGUCGGAAUCGCUAGUAAUCGUAGAUCAGAAUGCUACGGUGAAUACGUUCCCGGGCCUUGUACACACCGCCCGUCACACCAUGGGAGUGGGUUGCAAAAGAAGUAGGUAGCUUAACCUUCGGGAGGGCGCUUACCACUUUGUGAUUCAUGACUGGGGUGAAGUCGUAACAAGGUAUCCGUAAAU